UUUUUCUCAAAUAUGUCAUUGCUUCUCCAUCCUUACUUAAGAGCCUUCAUAAAGAUUUUCAUUAAUCCAAGGUUUAUAUUUAAAAGUGAAAGGUAAACAUCUUGGGCAUUUAUUAAUAGUUCAUGAGAAAUGUUCUUUUGGCCUGGAAUGAAUUUUCUUCUUUCAUUCUGUUCAAAUGUAAUGGUUUGCUUUUUUAUAACUAUCCCAUUCACACAAAAAACAGCAAAGUUUGGUUUAAUCUUGUUGCAUACUUAGAAGAGGCCCUAUUACUUUUAAAUCUUUACAUAUAUGUGUGAGGGGCAAGAAUGUGACUCAAUUGUGGUGUCUCUUUACUCACCUCCGAGUUAUAAUUUUAUUUAUUGCUGUUAUUAUUUUCCCCUCUUUAUUUUUAAAGGGGAAAAUGGAAAGGAAAUGCAGAGAGAGAAAGAGAGAUUGCAUUGUGAUACGUGGUCAUAUGAAACCCGGCCCAUGAACACGUGUCCCCAAUUGAAUUAAAUCAUGCUAGAAUAUAAACACAGGUAUCGUGUUAGAAAC
rnacentral:lncRNA from 1 species